rnacentral:rRNA from 1 species
UACGAAGGGGGCUAGCGUUGCUCGGAAUCACUGGGCGUAAAGCGCACGUAGGCGGACUCUUAAGUCGGGGGUGAAAUCCUGGAGCUCAACUCCAGAACUGCCUUCGAUACUGGGAGUCUUGAGUUCGGGAGAGGUGAGUGGAACUGCGAGUGUAGAGGUGAAAUUCGUAGAUAUUCGCAAGAACACCAGUGGCGAAGGCGGCUCACUGGCCCGAUACUGACGCUGAGGUGCGGAAAGCGUGGGGAGCAAAGCAGGGAUUAAGAAACCC